rnacentral:pre_miRNA from 1 species
UAAGUACUCCCUCCGUUCCAAAAUAGAUGACCCAACUUUGUACUAACUUUGUAUUGAAGUUAGUACAAAGUUGAGUCAUCUAUUAAAGUUAGUACAAAGUUGGGUCAUCUAUUUUGGAACGGAGGGAGUAUUAC